AUUGGACGCUGGCGGCAGGCUUAACACAUGCAAGUCGAGCGGAGAGAGGUAGCUUGCUACUGAUCUUAGCGGCGGACGGGUGAGUAAUGCUUAGGAAUCUGCCUAUUAGUGGGGGACAACAUUUCGAAAGGAAUGCUAAUACCGCAUACGUCAUACGGGAGAAAGCAGGGGAUCUUCGGACCUUGCGCUAAUAGAUGAGCCUAAGUCGGAUUAGCUAGUUGGUGGGGUAAAGGCCUACCAAGGCGACGAUCUGGAGCGGGUCUGAGAGGAUGAUCCGCCACACUGGGACUGAGACACGGCCCAGACUCCUACGGGAGGCAGCAGUGGGGAAUAUUGGACAAUGGGCGCAAGCCUGAUCCAGCCAUGCCGCGUGUGUGAAGAAGGCCUUAUGGUUGUAAAGCACUUUAAGCGAGGAGGAGGCUACUUUAGAUAAUACCUAGAGAUAGUGGACGUUACUCGCAGAAUAAGCACCGGCUAACUCUGUGCCAGCAGCCGCAGUAAGAC
rnacentral:rRNA from 1 species